ACGGAGCGCGGCGGCGACAAGAUUGAUGAUCAAAAGGCGCCAGGAAUUCAUUGGCGGACAAGGAUCCCAAGGGAAAUGAGUGAGAUGUUGCAACAAUGUCCAGUCAAUUCAUAUUCAACGAUUGAUGGGUGUAUGGAGAGU
ensembl:ncRNA F58H1.15 ncRNA